AAAGAGCUCACCAAAAACACUAACUUUUAGGCAAAAACAUCUUCAUUUCAUUUCUCAUAAAUCCCAAUUUGAACUAAAUUUCUUCAAUCAUGAUAGGCAAUAGAUCUAAGCCGGUGAUCGGAAAACUCACCGGUGCAGCUUUUUCGGGUAGCCGGACGAUGGAUGGUGCUACCAGUCCAAGAAGUCCACUCGAUUUCAAGUUUCCAUCACCAAGAGGCUUAAAAAGCUUUGAUUUCGGUGGUGUUGGAUUAGCUAUAGUAGCUGCACUAGAAAAGUCCGGCGGUAAAAACGGCGAAAUCCCGGCGAACAAAGCCGUUUACAACCGGAAUUCAAACAGAUCCCUUCCAAUUCCGGUGAUUUCUCCGUCGAAAAAUUCAGCUAGAUUUAGACCAGAAAUUGAGGAAACAGAGAUGGAUAGUUUUGAAGAAUAUACAAUAGUUACUUGCCGUGCACCAGGUAAUAAACCCUACACAAAAGUAUACGGCGAUAGAAGUAAACGGGAAAACAGAAAAUGUAAUCGUCCAAGCGUUUUUAACAUAUCUCCGGCGAACAUUGGAAUUUUUCCGGCAGAACAAAAUUCUGAUUUUCUCAGUUCAUGUAAUUUGUGUCAAAAAAAGUUACAUGGCAAAGACAUAUACAUGUAUAGGUAUGUAUAUAAUGCCCCCACAACAUUAUUAUUUUUUAUCGCGAUCAAAUUUAUUAUUAUUUUUUAAGUAUAUACGAUAGAUAUUAACGUUUCGUUCAUGAAUUUCAGGGGCGAGAAAGCAUUUUGUAGCACAGAGUGUCGAUACAGGCAAAUAAUGAUGGAUGAGCAGAAAGAAAAGUGUAGUUCAACAUCUGUUGAUGUUGCUACUCCACCAUAUGGAAAUGGACAAAUCUUCUCCACUGGAAUACUCGCUAUUUAAUCGAUAAAUUAAUAUUUAGUAUAUAUAGAACGUCGUAAAUAUAUCUAUAUAUACUCGGAAAUACUUAUAUACAUUAAGAGAAAAAGUUCUGUAACUCUUUUUUUUUCUUUUUUGGUAUUCUCCCCCAAUUUUGAUUUGGAUGUAGAAAUGGAAAAGCAUAAAUAUAGCAAUGAAAAGUUU
rnacentral:misc_RNA from 1 species